AAGUUGAGAACAAUGAGCAUAUAGGAUAUCUAGCCGAUAGGAAAAAGCCAAUCAUCUUUUCAAUGGCGCGGCUCGAUGUUGUCAAGAACAUCACCGGGCUGGUCGAAUGGUUUGGGAAGAAUGAAAAGCUGAGAAAUUUGGUGAAUCUUGUUGUGGUUGGGGGAUUCUUUGAUCCUUCCAAAUCAAAGGACAGAGAAGAAAUGGCAGAGAUAAGAAAGAUGCAUGAAUUGAUUGACAAAUACCAACUCAAAGGUCAGAUCAGGUGGAUAGCAGCACAGACCGAUCGCCGUCGUAACGGAGAACUCUACCGCUGCAUUGCGGACACAAAAG
rnacentral:misc_RNA from 1 species